UGGGGAAUAUUGGACAAUGGGCGCAAGCCUGAUCCAGCAAUGCCGCGUGUGUGAAGAAGGCCCUUCGGGUUGUAAAGCACUUUUAUCAGGAGCGAAACGCUGUCGGCUAAUACCCGGCGGAACUGACGGUACCUGAGGAAUAAGCACCGGCUAACUUCGUGCCAGCAGCCGCGGUAAUACGAAGGGUGCAAGCGUUAAUCGGAAUUACUGGGCGUAAAGCGUGCGUAGGCGGUUUUCUUAAGUCUGCUGUGAAAUCCCCGGGCUCAACCUGGGAAUGGCAGUGGAUACUGGGAGGCUAGAGUGUGUCAGAGGGUGGUGAAUUCCCGGUGUAGCGGUGAAAUGCGUAGAGAUCGGGAGGAACAUCAGUGGCGAAGGCGGCCACCUGGACAACACUGACGCUGAGGCACGAAAGCGUGGGGAGCAAACAGGAUUAGAUACCCUGGUAGUCCACGCCCUAAACGAUGCGAACUGGAUGUUGGUCUCAACUCGGAGAUCAGUGUCGAAGCUAACGCG
rnacentral:rRNA from 1 species